UCUUGGUCAUUUAGAGGAAGUAAAAGUCGUAACAAGGUUUCCGUAGGUGAACCUGCGGAAGGAUCAUUAUCGUAACAAAAUGUGUUGAGGCAUGCAACGGCUGUCGCUGACCAAAAGUCGUGCACGCCAGGGUGUGUCCUCUCACAUAAAAUCCAUCUCACCCUUUUGAGCACCACCGCGUGGGCACCCUUCGGGGUCGAACAGAUCCAGGAGGGGGCUCGCGUUUUCACACAAACCCCUUUUUAAAAGUGUAGAAUGACCCCACUUUUGCGAUAACACGCAAUCAAUACAACUUUCAACAACGGAUCUCUUGGCUCUCGCAUCGAUGAAGAACGCAGCGAAAUGCGAUACGUAAUGUGAAUUGCAGAAUUCAGUGAAUCAUCGAAUCUUUGAACGCACCUUGCGCCCCUUGGCAUUCCGAGGGGCACACCCGUUUGAGUGUCGUGAAAUCAUCAAAACCUUCUCUUUGACCCUCUUUGGUCGGGAAAAGGAUUUUUGGACUUGGAGGUUCCAUGCUCGCCUUCACUUUUGAAAGCGAGCUCCUCUCAAAUGAAUUAGUGGGGUCCGCUUUGCUGGUCCUUGACGUGAUAAGAUGUUUCUACGUUUUGGAUUUAGCACUGUCCCUUGGAUGCCUGCUCCUAACUGUCUCACGGACAAUGAUGGUGCUCUGGUCACUGCCAUCUACAUUGGCGGGAGGCUGGACCCACAAAAGAAAACCUUGACCUCAAAUCGGGUGAGACUACCCGCUGAACUUAAGCAUAUCAAUAAGCGGAGGA
rnacentral:rRNA from 1 species